rnacentral:siRNA from 1 species
CUAAAUUUGUCCGAUGGGGAUGGU